rnacentral:rRNA from 1 species
AUUGAACGCUGGCGGCAGGCCUAACACAUGCAAGUCGAACGAGUGGCGGACGGGUGAGUAAUGUCGGGGAAACUGCCUGAUGGAGGGGGAUAACUACGGGAAACGGUAGCUAAUACCGCAUACCCUCAGAUGUGCCCAGAUGGGAUUAGCUAGUAGGAGGGGUAAAGGCUCACCUCGGCGACGAUCCCUAGCUGGUCUGAGAGGAUGACCAGCCACACUGGAACGGAGACACGGUCCAGACUCCUACGGGAGGCAGCAGUGGGGAAUAUUGCACAAUGGGCGCAAGCCUGAUGCAGCCAUGCCGCGUGUAUGAAGAAGGCCUUAGGGUUGUAAAGUACUUUCAGCGGGGAGGCGUUACCGGCAGAAGAAGCACCGGCUAACUCCGUGCCAGCAGCCGCGGUAAUAC